rnacentral:rRNA from 1 species
GACGAACGCUGGCGGCGUGCUUAACACAUGCAAGUCGAACGGAAAGGCCCUGCUUGCAGGGUACUCGAGUGGCGAACGGGUGAGUAACACGUGGGUGAUCUGCCCUGCACUUCGGGAUAAGCCUGGGAAACUGGGUCUAAUACCGGAUAGGAGCCAUUUUUAGUGUGAUGGUUGGAAAGUUUUUUCGGUGUAGGAUGAGCUCUCGGCCUUUUAGCUUGUUGGUGGGGUAAUGGCCUACCAAGGCGGCGACGGGUAGCCGGCCGGGGAGGGUGGACGGCCACAAUGGGACUGAGAGACGGCCCAGACUCCUACGGGAGGCAACAGGGGGGAAUAUUGCACAAUGGGCGCAAGCCUGAUGCAGCGACGCCGCGUGGGGGGUGACGGCCUUCGGGUUGAAAACUCCUUUCGCUAGGGACGAAGCUUUUUGUGACGGUACCUAGAAAAGAAGCACCGGCUAACUACGUG